CUGCAUGUUAAAAAAAAAUCAUUCUGCUCCUCGUUCCCUUGAGGAGCAUGAACAUAUAUAUAACAUGCUACAGAAAACAAGGAGUCCUCAGGGCUGCCAGUCUUGCAGUGAAGACUGAGUGGUAGUAUAUGUCUCCUACAGCU
ensembl:snoRNA